GCUUUAUAAAUAAUUUAAAUUUAGUUAAUUUAAAUUAUAAAAGCUAAGUUUGGUUGUUUUAUUUUGUUGGGGUGAUGUGAGCAUAAUUAAAAUUAACUGCUUAAAAAAAAUUCUGUAUAAAAGAAUUAUAGUAAUAUGAUCCUUUUUAAAGAUUAAAAGACUAAGUU
rnacentral:rRNA from 1 species